rnacentral:rRNA from 1 species
GACGAACGCUGGCGGCGUGCUUAACACAUGCAAGUCGAACGGUAAGGCUCCAGCUUGCUGGGGUACACGAGUGGCGAACGGGUGAGUAACACGUGGGUGACCUGCCCUGCACUUCGGGAUAAGCCUGGGAAACUGGGUCUAAUACCGGAUAGGACCGCACCGUGAGGGUGUGGGGGAAAGUUUUUUCGGUGUGGGAUGGGCCCGCGGCCUAUCAGCUUGUUGGUGGGGUAAUGGCCUACCAAGGCGGCGACGGGUAGCCGGCCUGAGAGGGUGGACGGCCACAUUGGGACUGAGACACGGCCCAGACUCCUACGGGAGGCAGCAGUGGGGAAUAUUGCACAAUGGGCGGAAGCCUGAUGCAGCGACGCCGCGUGGGGGAUGACGGCCUUCGGGUUGUAAACUCCUUUCACCAUCGACGAAGGGUUUCUGACGGUAGAUGGAGAAGAAGCACCGGCUAACUACGUGCCAGCAGCCGCGGUAAUACGUAGGGUGCGAGCGUUGUCCGGAAUUACUGGGCGUAAAGAGCUCGUAGGUGGUUUGUCGCGUCGUCUGUGAAAUUCCGGGGCUUAACUCCGGGCGUGCAGGCGAUACGGGCAUAACUUGAGUACUGUAGGGGAGACUGGAAUUCCUGGUGUAGCGGUGAAAUGCGCAGAUAUCAGGAGGAACACCGGUGGCGAAGGCGGGUCUCUGGGCAGUAACUGACGCUGAGGAGCGAAAGCAUGGGGAGCGAACAGGAUUAGAUACCCUGGUAGUCCAUGCCGUAAACGGUGGGCGCUAGGUGUGGGUUUCCUUCCACGGGAUCCGUGCCGUAGCUAACGCAUUAAGCGCCCCGCCUGGGGAGUACGGCCGCAAGGCUAAAACUCAAAGGAAUUGACGGGGGCCCGCACAAGCGGCGGAGCAUGUGGAUUAAUUCGAUGCAACGCGAAGAACCUUACCUGGGCUUGACAUAUACAGGAUCGCGCCAGAGAUGGUGUUUCCCUUGUGGCUUGUAUACAGGUGGUGCAUGGUUGUCGUCAGCUCGUGUCGUGAGAUGUUGGGUUAAGUCCCGCAACGAGCGCAACCCUUGUCUUAUGUUGCCAGCACGUUGUGGUGGGGACUCGUAAGAAACUGCCGGGGUUAACUCGGAGGAAGGUGGGGAUGACGUCAAAUCAUCAUGCCCCUUAUGUCCAGGGCUUCACACAUGCUACAAUGGUCGGUACAGUGGGUUGCCAGUCCGUGAGGGCGAGCUAAUCCCGCAAAGCCGGUCUCAGUUCGGAUCGGGGUCUGCAACUCGACCCCGUGAAGUCGGAGUCGCUAGUAAUCGCAGAUCAGCAACGCUGCGGUGAAUACGUUCCCGGGCCU